UACAGAGGGGGCAAGCGUUAUUCGGAAUUAUUGGGCGUAAAGGGCGCGUAGGCGGCUUGGCAAGUGGAUGGUGAAAUCCCUCGGCUUAACCGAGGAACUGCCAUCCAGACUGCUUUGCUUGAGGCCGGGAGAGGUGAGUGGAAUUCCCAGUGUAGCGGUGAAAUGCGUAGAUAUUGGGAGGAACACCAGUGGCGAAGGCGGCUCACUGGACCGGUAUUGACGCUGAGGUGCGAAAGCGUGGGGAGCAAACAGG
rnacentral:rRNA from 1 species